rnacentral:rRNA from 1 species
UACGAAGGGUGCAAGCGUUACUCGGAAUUACUGGGCGUAAAGCGUGCGUAGGCGGUUUGUUAAGUCCGUUGUGAAAGCCCUGGGCUCAACCUGGGAAUUGCAGUGGAUACUGGCAAGCUAGAGUACGGUAGAGGAUGGUGGAAUUCCCGGUGUAGCGGUGAAAUGCGUAGAGAUCGGGAGGAACACCCGUGGCGAAGGCGGCCAUCUGGACCAGUACUGACGCUGAGGCACGAAAGCGUGGGGAGCAAAC